rnacentral:rRNA from 1 species
UACGGAGGGAGCUAGCGUUGUUCGGAAUUACUGGGCGUAAAGCGCACGUAGGCGGCUUUUUAAGUUAGGGGUGAAAUCCCAGGGCUCAACCCUGGAACUGCCUCUAAUACUGGGCAUCUAGAGUCCGAGAGAGGUGAGUGGAAUUCCGAGUGUAGAGGUGAAAUUCGUAGAUAUUCGGAGGAACACCAGUGGCGAAGGCGGCUCACUGGCUCGGUACUGACGCUGAGGUGCGAAAGCGUGGGGAGCAAACAGGG